GCGGUGGGUUUGGAGCAGACACGCAGUUAUUCUAGUAAUGACCUGAGCACGAAGCGUGGCUUCGGAACGGUCGUUACAGACAGAGAGCGAGCGGAGCCGGGAAGAGAAAAAGGAUUGAAAGGGGUUGUAACUCACAGUUGCUGAAUCAGGCGGAGACUGACGUCGGCAGAGUUUCGGAGCUCCUGACACGAGGAUACUGAUGUCUGAGCGGCGAACAGGAAGGGGAGCCCCAUCUGCUGCCACACAGGGGGAUAAGAAGAAAAUGAAGAAGGAAAGAAAAUUGCACACAGCUUUUCCAAACUCCAUCCCACUUGAGUGUGACUCAGAGAAGCUGGUUUUGACACUGCCAGUGUGCUGUGUUUCUUCAGCCCAGGAAGCCAAGCCUCAUGCAGUCGGUGACCUCGUGGGAUCUGGAUGUCCAGC
ensembl:lncRNA